ACGUAGGAGGCAAGCGUUAUCCGGAUUCACUGGGCGUAAAGCGCGUGCAGGCGGUUCGGUAAGUUGGGCGUGAAAUCUCCUGGCUUAACUAGGAGAGGUCGUUCAAUACUACCGGACUUGAGAGUGAUAGAGGAAGAUGGAAUUCCCGGUGUAGUGGUGAAAUGCGUAGAUAUCGGGAGGAACACCAGUGGCGAAAGCGAUCUUCUGGAUCAUUUCUGACGCUCAGACGCGAAAGCUAGGGUAGUAAACGGGAUUAGAGACCCCGGUAAUCCUAGCCGUAAACGAUGUAAACUUGGCGUCGGCGGCUUAAACUCCGUCGGUGCCGCAGCUAACGCGAUAAGUUUACCGCCUGGGGACUACGAUCGCAAGAUUA
rnacentral:rRNA from 1 species